AAUUCCAUGAUAAAUCCCAUCCUUACUCAAAAAACCCUAGUAUUUCAAAUCAAAUAAACAAAUAAUCAAACCCUAAAAAUUUUUCAAUAAGAAACUAGAAAUCGAAACCUCAAAUCGAUCUAGUGAAUCCAUAUAAUAUGUGGAAAUCGCUUGGACAUAACUGAGAGUACCUGUUGAGAGCUUACAACUCGCGAAGCAGAGAAGCACCAAAGGUUGCUAGCACUCGACUGAUUCCAUACCAACGCCCG
rnacentral:misc_RNA from 1 species